GAUGAACGCUGGCGGCGUGCCUAAUACAUGCAAGUCGAGCGAACGGACGAGAAGCUUGCUUUUCUGAUGUUAGCGGCGGACGGGUGAGUAACACGUGGAUAACCUGCCUAUAAGACUGGGAUAACUUCGGGAAACCGGAGCUAAUACCGGAUAAUAUUUUGAACCGCAUGGUUCAAACGUGAAAGACGGUCUUGCUGUCACUUAUAGAUGGAUCCGCGCUGCAUUAGCUAGUUGGUAAGGUAACGGCUUACCAAGGCAACGAUGCAUAGCCGACCUGAGAGGGUGAUCGGCCACACUGGAACUGAGACACGGUCCAGACUCCUACGGGAGGCAGCAGUAGGGAAUCUUCCGCAAAGGGCGAAAGCCUGACGGAGCAACGCCGCGUGAGUGAUGAAGGUCUUCGGAUCGUAAAACUCUGUUAUUAGGGAAGAACAUAUGUGUAAGUAACUGUGCACAUCUUGACGGUACCUAAUCAGAAAGCCACGGCUAACUACGUG
rnacentral:rRNA from 1 species